AUUGAACGCUGGCGGCAUGCUUUACACAUGCAAGUCGAACGGUAACAGGUUAAGCUGACGAGUGGCGAACGGGUGAGUAAUGCAUCGGAACGUGCCCGAUCGUGGGGGAUAACGCAGCGAAAGCUGCGCUAAUACCGCAUACGAUCUGAGGAUGAAAGCGGGGGACCGUAAGGCCUCGCGCGAUCGGAGCGGCCGAUGUCAGAUUAGGUAGUUGGUGGGGUAAAGGCUCACCAAGCCAACGAUCUGUAGCUGGUCUGAGAGGACGACCAGCCACACUGGGACUGAGACACGGGCCAGACUCCUACGGGAGGCAGCAGUGGGGAAUUUUGCGCAAUGGGGGAAACCCUGACGCAGCAACGCCGCGUGAGUGAUGAAGGCCUUCGGGUCGUAAAGCUCUUUUAGUGGGGAAGAAAUCCCAUGGUCACGCCAUGGGUCUGACGGUACCCACAGAAAAAGUUCCGGCUAACUACGUGCCAGCCGCCGCGGUAACAC
rnacentral:rRNA from 1 species